UUCACGGUGUUCUUGUUUACUCGCCUUUGCUGUGUGCUUUCUUUUUUGUUGCUUCGAGUGUCUGGCUGUUUGAACUUUUAUGGCUUUUUGCUGAGAUUUUCGUUUGGUCGAACCCGUGUUUACUCAGUUUUGUGUUGUUGUUCAUCCAUCUUCUUAGUUUUAUAAAUGGGGUAAAGACUAAUAAUGAUGAUGAUUGAUGACCAUGAAGUUUUGAAGUUUUCUUUUGUUUUUGUCUCAUUCACUUUCCCUUCACGUGAUGUACUCUUCUUUCCCCUUUUCUUUUUCUUUUUUUCUAUUUUUUUUUUAUUUUUUUUUUGAUAAAUGACUGUUAAUGGCAAUUGGUGAUGAUGACUGCACAACUUUGUCAUCUUUCUCUUUGUAUUCACAUGAACUUUAUUGUCCCCCUUUUUUAUUUAUUUAUGCUGCUUCUAAACUUCUGAUAAUGAUAUUUGAUGAUGAUCAUAAACCUUGAUGUUGAUGUAAAUUGUCGUCUUUCCGUCGUUCAUGUACUGUUAUCUUUUUCUUUUCUAUUUGCUUUUUUUUUUGAAUGAUACCGUACAUGCUGAUGAGUGAUGGUCAGAUACCUCGCUGCCCCCAUAGUGAACAUAGCGAUAAUAUGAUAACGAUGAUUGGCAAUUGGUAAUAGUGACUAUUACAUGCUCUGUGUACAUUUUUUUAUAAAAAAAAAAUAAAAAAUACCAGAGUAACAGUAGGUUCACCGUAUCAAGAAUUCAUAAUGUCGAUAAAUUGAUGACAAUAGUUUGUGCUGUUUUUGUUUUUGUAUCCCGUAUAACCAAAAUAACUUGGCAUUGGCAUUGUUAAGCAUACACUAACUUGAAGUACUUUUCCUGUAGGAACAAUAUCAACAAUAUCAACAUGGUUUAUUUCAAGUAUCACGAUUUCCCUGGAGAAGAGACAUUGUCACUUAUGCAAGAUGCUAAUUCGGUUGAUGGAGCGCACUUUCGUUCAUUUCCUCCUGUGAUUGGUCCUUUUGCAAACAUCAAUUCUUCUACGGAGUUCUCGGGCCCGAAAAGCUGGUACAAGGAGAGUCGUGAUGUUAAUGCAUUUGGUGGAAAAACACCUAAACCUGUCCUUGUCGCUUCACAUCAUCAUCCCUGCGAUGAGGCGUGUUCUUUCCAGACAUUAUCUACGCGUUUGUCCCGCAAGGAGACCAAAUGGAGUUCUAGUCCGAAGUUUGGAGUCGAGCCAACAUACAUCCCUCUUUAUUGGGAAUGGUUAGAAGAUGUCCUGCACCAUUCCAGACGCACACUUGCUAGCACCCAUAUUCUUGAUGCCGUCUAUGCUUCCAUGUACAUCUACAAGUGUAAUUCUCCUGUCAUGCAGGCUUUUUGCGAAUCCUGGUGUCCUACGACAAAUACCUUGCACACUUCAGUUGGAGAAAUGUCAAUCAGUCUUUGGGAUAUAUACGACCUUGGUGGGCUUCCCGUAACUGGCCUUUUUUAUGACGAGGUCGUCCCUUCUGCAGUUGAAUUGGAAGGCUCCGACGAUGAGCACAGUCUAUACCUCCCUUACAGUUGCAAAUAUUUGUUCAUGGCUUUGCAUUAUCUUUCUGAGAAACACAAGGUGACAACUAUAACGUUCGAGACUUGGUGUGAUUUUUGGUUUCGCGAUGCAUCAAAGUAUUUCUUGGCAUCUGGCAACAAAAAGUCUGUCCUUCCAACACUUAUGAAAGACUUCAGCUCCUUUAAUGGUCCUCGAUCAUGGAGUCAUAAGAUGUACGAAGCCUUUCGCAUCCUACGGAUUCCUGAAGCGCAUCAUCGACAAACAUAUUUGGCUGCCUUUCUCUCAUGUUGGCUUUGUGCCUUUGUUUUGCCGGUGUCAGAUUUGGGUUGCAUCCGUCCUGGAUCUUUCAAACCUGCGUCAUUUCUUGCAAGUGGAAAAGAGACUUCUUUGGCGAUCCCUGUUUUGGCGAGCAUCUACCACGGAUUGAGCAAAAUUUCGAAUUCUCCUACCCCAAGCAAACAUCGCGAGUCCUUCCCUGCACAAUAUGUGUAUGUCUGGACCGCUAAGUAUUUUCGAAGUCAUCACAUCGUCACCUACGAUUUUGUUGGUGCUCCCCUGAUGAGAAGCGUGAAGAUGACAACCAUCAACCAAAGCAAUUCACAAACUUCUUCAUUAGCAUGCGGUCCUGUUUUCUGACCUUGAGGUUCGACAACAACUACGUGGUUGAGCCAUACAGUCCUCAUCGAUUCGGUCGGCAAUUCGGAUUUCACCAAGAUGUGCCAGGCGAAUUAGUAGUCCAGACACAAAACAUCACCCGAGAGCAUAUGUACUAUCUUUUUCAAUCCAGCAUUCGUCUGCAUACUAGGGCUACCUUUUUGGUCCCUUGCCGCACGUUUAAUGCCCAAUCUCGAGUCACUCCAAGCUUCACAACAUGGUGGAAUUCGGUCGUUUCUUUAAAUGCGGCUUAUGCUUCAAGAACUCCUAGUCCAACAAAUGUCAGGUCUAAGAAGAGAAAGGAGAGAAAGGGCGAUGAUCCUAACACUUCACCAAAAGACAAAGCUGCCAAGACUUCGGCUGCACCUCGCAAAGUUAGAGUCAGAUUGCCUAAAAGUUCCACGAUAUCCUGUCCGCCCAAGGAAACAUCUUCGAAAGGCAGGGACGAGAGUAGAAGACUAGCAAGCAGAGUUGUAAGUAAUGAACCUUCCAAUGACGAAAAUGAACCUUCCAAUGACGAACACGCAGGUGAACCUACAAUUCUGGAUGAUAUUUUCGCUGAAGAUUAUGGCCCUGAGCUAUCGCCUGAAGAGAUAGAGAAUCUUCAAAGCGAUGCGAACAUAGCAGUAGAGCUUACUGCUUGCGAGAAUACAUUUGUCUCCCUUCCCGAACAACAGUUCAUUGAUGAUGUUGUCAUUGAUACUGCGCCAACCACAAGUGUUUCUACUGCUUCG